GACGUAGGGCGCGAGCGUUGUCCGGAUUUAUUGGGCGUAAAGAGCUCGUAGGCGGCUUGUCGCGUCGUCCGUGAAAACCCACAGCUCAACUGUGGGCUUGCGGUCGAUACGGGCAGGCUAGAGUUCGGUAGGGGAGACUGGAAUUCCUGGUGUAGCGGUGAAAUGCGCAGAUAUCAGGAGGAACACCGGUGGCGAAGGCGGGUCUCUGGGCCGAAACUGACGCUGAGGAGCGAAAGCGUGGGGAGCGAACAGG
rnacentral:rRNA from 1 species